rnacentral:rRNA from 1 species
UACGUAGGGUGCAAGCGUUAAUCGGAAUUACUGGGCGUAAAGCGUGCGCAGGCGGUUUUGUAAGUCAGAUGUGAAAUCCCCGGGCUUAACCUGGGAACUGCGUUUGAAACUACAAGGCUAGAGUGUGGCAGAGGGGGGUGGAAUUCCACGUGUAGCAGUGAAAUGCGUAGAGAUGUGGAGGAACACCGAUGGCGAAGGCAGCCCCUGGGCCAACACUGACGCUCAGGCACGAAAGCGUGGGGAGCAAACAGG